rnacentral:lncRNA from 1 species
UCAGGGGUUCAGGAGCAGAGGCACAGGAAAGGGAGGAAAUAGAGAGCGAGGGGGAGGAGUCCGAAGGAAAUGUUAGCGAUGACAGCGGUCCGAGGUCUCUGAGUCUUUCCAGCGAAUCGGAAGAUUCACAGAAAGGGGCUCCCUUGGUCAGAGCAAGGGGGUGCCGAGGGGACACCCCAGGAAGAAGGGGCCAGAGGGGACUCAGAGAGCAGCAGUUGGAAAUCAGGACCAGCGUCCACACCAGAGUGCAGUAGGGGGGGAGGAGUCCCAGGCAUCGGGAUCAGGCGGCGCACUGCCAGUGGGAGGACAUGAGUCAGGAUUGGCCACGCCUCCAUCGGGGAGCGAGGAAACGGUCGAGAGGAAGGUUGAAGGCUGGGCGCGCGCGCCAAGUUCAAAUGUACAGGAGGGCGGCGCAGUUGGCAGCCCGGAUAGGGAGCCAGGUCCCAAAGCCCGCCGAAAAGAGGGGGAGGAGUCAGGAGGGUCAGCGUCAGAAGAAUCCAGGAAGGAAGGGACCCAGGGGGGUAGCAGGACCCAGAGGAGAAAGGAGAGACGUAAGAGGUGGAGUAAGGCUAGAAUCUUAAACUGGUGUACAGGGGGCGGAGACUCAGAUGGAGCUUCGCCGAUCUAACCCCUAGACGUAGAGCUGGGGCGCUCCGGCUUGAAAAUGGAAACUGUACUUCAAUAAAGACUUUUGCACAUUACUGCCGGCUAGCGUUGGUCCUCUGUGAG